rnacentral:rRNA from 1 species
UACGUAGGGUGCGAGCGUUGUCCGGAAUUAUUGGGCGUAAAGGGCUCGUAGGCGGUUUGUCGCGUCGGGAGUGAAAUCCACUGGCUUAACUGGUGGCUUGCUUUCGAUACGGGCAGACUGGAGGUAUGCAGGGGAGAACGGAAUUCCUGGUAUAGCGGUGAAAUGCGCAGAUAUCAGGAGGAACACCGGUGGCGAAGGCGGUUCUCUGGGCAUGUCCUGACGUUGAGGAGCGAAAGUGUGGGGAGCGAACAGG